AUUACAGAUGUAUUUCAUACAUCCCAAACCAAUGUGGUUAAAGAGGAAACUACUUUGGAGAGAGUCUACGGAUCAUAAAUGUGAUGAAUGAACCAAAGGAACCCCAUCUGACUGGGUCCUCUUAUUUGCCCACUCAUUUAUCCAUUCAUUCAUGGCAUCACUUCAUGGCAAAUAGAUGGAGAAACAGUGGAAACAGUGGCUGACUUUAUUUUGGGGGGGCUCCAAAAUCACUGCAGAUGGUGAUUGCAACCAUGAAAUUAAAAGAUGCUUACUCCUUGGAAGUUAAGACCAACCUAGACAGCAUAUUAAAAAGCAGAGACAUCACUUUGUCAACAAAGGUUCAUCUAGUCAAGGCUAUGGUUUUUCCACUAGCUUUGUUUGUAGUGAUGCUUCCUAAGGCCCACUUGACUUCACAUUCCAGGAUGUCUGGCUCUAGGUCAGUGAUCACACCAUCAUGAUUGUCUGGGUUGUGAAGAUCUUUUUUGUACAGUUCUUCUGUGUAUUCUUGCCACCUCUUCUUAAUAUCUUCUGCUUCUGUCAGGUCUAUACCAUUUCUGUCCUUUAUUGAGCCCAUCUUUGCAUGAAAUGUUCCCUUGGUAUCUCUAAUUUUCUUGAAGAGAUCUCUAGUCUUCCCCAUUCUGUUGUUUUCCUCUAUUUCUUUGCAUUGAUUGCUGAGGAAGGCUUUCUUACCUCUUCUUGCUAUUCUUUGGAACUCUGCAUUCAGAUGCUUAUAUCUUUCCUUUUCUCCUCUGCUUUUCACUUCUCUUCUUUUCACAGCUAUUUGUAAGGCCUUCCCAGACAGCCAUUUUGCUUUUUUGCAUUUCUUUUCCAUGAGGAUGGUCUUGAUCUCUGUCUUCUGUACAAGCUAAUGGAGGUGAUGAAAUUCCAGUUGAGCUAUUUCAAAUCCUGAAAGAUGAUGCUGUGAAAGUGCUGCACUCAAUAUGCCAGCAAAUUUGGAAAACUCAGCAAUGGCCACAGGACUGGAAAAGGUCAGAUUUCAUUCCAAUCCCAAAGAAAGGCAAUGCCAAAGAAUGCUCAAACUACCGCACAAUUGCACUCAUUUCACACGCUAGUAAAGUAAUGCUCAAAAUUCUCCAAACCAGGCUUCAGCAAUACGUGAACCGUGAACUUCCUGAUGUUCAAGCUGGUUUUAGAAAAGGCAAAGGAACCAGAGAUCAAAUUGCCGACAUCCUCUGGAUCACGGAAAAAGCAAGAGAGUUCCAGAAAAACAUCUAUUUCUGCUUUAUUGACUAUGCCAAAGCCUUGGACUGUGUGGAUCACAAUAAACUGUGGGAAAUUCUGAAGGACAUAGGAAUACCAGACCACCUGACCUGCCUCUUGAGAAACCUAUAUGCAGGUCAGGAAGCAACAGUUAGAACUGGACAUGGAACAACAGACUGGUUCCAAAUAGGAAAAGGAGUACGUCAAGGCUGUAUAUUGUCACCCUGCUUAUUUAACUUAUAUGCAGAGUACAUCAUGAGAAACACUGGGCUGGAAGAAGCACA
ensembl:lncRNA